rnacentral:rRNA from 1 species
CCUACGGGUGGCAGCAGUGAGGAAUAUUGGUCAAUGGGCGCGAGCCUGAACCAGCCAAGUAGCGUGAAGGAUGACUGCCCUACGGGUGUUAAACUUCUUUUAUAAAGGAGUAAAGUGAGGCACGUGUGCCUUUUUGUAUGUCCUUUAUGAAUAAGGAUCGGCUAACUCCGUGCCAGCAGCCGCGGUAAUACGGAGGUUCCGAGCGUUAUCCGGAUUGAUUGGGGUUAAAGGGCACGGAGAUGGGUUGUUAAGUCAGUUGUGAAAGUUUGCGGCUCAACCGUAAAAUUGCAAUUGAUACUGGCAGCCUUGAGUACAGGAGAGGUAGGCGGAAUUCGUGGUGUAGCGGUGAAAUGCUUAGAUAUCACGAAGAACACCGAUUGCGAAGGCAGCCUACUAAACUGCCACUGACAUUGAGGCUCGAAAGUGUGGGUAUCAAACAGGAUUAGAUACCCGAGUAGUC